rnacentral:rRNA from 1 species
AACGAACGCUGGCGGCAGGCCUAACACAUGCAAGUCGAGCGAAGCCCUCGGGCUUAGCGGCGGACGGGUGAGUAACGCGUGGGAACGUGCCCUUUGGUACGGAAUAGCCCCGGGAAACUGGGAGUAAUACCGAAUGUGCCCUUCGGGGGAAAGAUUUAUCGCCAAAGGAUCGGCCCGCGUUGGAUUAGGUAGUUGGUGGGGUAAUGGCCUACCAAGCCGACGAUCCAUAGCUGGUUUGAGAGGAUGAUCAGCCACACUGGGACUGAGACACGGCCCAGACUCCUACGGGAGGCAGCAGUGGGGAAUCUUAGACAAUGGGGGAAACCCUGAUCUAGCCAUGCCGCGUGAUCCAUGAAGGCCUUAGGGUUGUAAAGAUCUUUCAGUGGGGAAGAUAAUGACUGUACCCACAGAAGAAGCCCCGGCUAACUCCGUGCCAGCAGCCGCAGUAAAAC